UACGUAGGAGGCGAGCGUUGUCCGGAAUUAUUGGGCGUAAAGCGCGUGUAGGCGGCGUGGCAAGUCGGGUGUGAAAGCCCUCAGCUCAACUGAGGAAGUGCGCCCGAAACUGCUGUGCUUGAGUGCCGGAGAGGGUGGCGGAAUUCCCCAAGUAGAGGUGAAAUUCGUAGAUAUGGGGAGGAACACCGGUGGCGAAGGCGGCCACCUGGACGGUAACUGACGCUGAGACGCGAAAGCGUGGGGAGCAAACAGG
rnacentral:rRNA from 1 species